rnacentral:rRNA from 1 species
GAUUAAGUUAUUAAGGGCGCACGGUGGAUGCCUUGGCACUAGAAGCCGAUGAAGGACGUUACUAACGACGAUAUGCUUUGGGGAGCUGUAAGUAAGCUUUGAUCCAGAGAUUUCCGAAUGGGGAAACCCAGCAUGAGUUAUGUCAUGUUAUCGAUAUGUGAAUACAUAGCAUAUCAGAAGGCACACCCGGAGAACUGAAACAUCUUAGUACCCGGAGGAAGAGAAAGAAAAUUCGAUUCCCUUAGUAGCGGCGAGCGAAACGGGAAGAGCCCAAACCAACAAGCUUGCUUGUUGGGGUUGUAGGACACUCUAUACGGAGUUACAAAGGACGACAUUAGACGAAUCAUCUGGAAAGAUGAAUCAAAGAAGGUAAUAAUCCUGUAGUCGAAAAUGUUGUCUCUCUUGAGUGGAUCCUGAGUACGACGGAGCACGUGAAAU